rnacentral:snRNA from 1 species
AGAUGUGAGGGUGAUCUGGCUGCGACACCUAUCACCCCAUGGAUCGUCAGGGUUGAUUCGGCUGAUCCGGCUGGCUAGGUGGGUAUCCCCUUCCUCCCUCUCUCUCCAAGUACGUCCCUCCCAAAGCUGCGCACUCAAAGAGGAUGACCAUCCCCGAUGGAGGAGGACCCAGCUUUGGUCAAGGAUGUAUGAGUAGCCAUGCUCCCCUGCUAGAACCUCCAAACAAGCUCUCAAGAAUAAGCUAUGUUCUGUCACAAGGUUUUUCUUUUUUUCUAGCAGCU